CAUAGCUUGGCCUGGGAACAGGAGAAAUAAACCAGACGCCACGCCGCCGCAUGGACAGUGCUCUGGCCUGCUGCUCCCACUGGGCAGCAUGGAGAGUGCAGCUGACUCUGGCCAGGUGUUGCAGCUGCAAGUUCCUGCUGCUGGAAUUUCUCUCUAACCACACAAGAGCUGGUUAUUAUUUCCUUGGAC